ensembl:lncRNA
GUGGAGGUGGAGGAGGUAGUGGUGGAAGAGGUGGUGGAGGGAGAAGUGGUGGUGGAGAACGUGGUGGAGGUGGAGGUGGUGGAGAACGUGGUGGAGGUGGAGGAGGUGGUGGUGGUGGUGGAGGUGGAGGAGAUGGUGGAGGGAUUAGAGGUGGUGAAGGUGGAGGAUGAUGUGGUGGUGGAGGUGGAGGUGGAGGAGGUGGAGGAGGGGUGGAGGGAGAAGUGGUGGUGGAGGUGGUGGAGGUGGAGAUGGUGGAGAAAGUGGUGGAGGUGUUAGAGGAGGUGUUGGAGGAGGUGUUGGAGUUGGAGGAGGAGGUAGUGCUGGAAGAGGUGGUGGAGGGAGAAGUGGUGGUGGUGGAGGAGGUGGUGGUGGUGUUGGAGGUGGUGGAGGGAGUGAUGGUGGAGGUGGAGGAAGUGGUGGUAGAGGAAGUGGUGGGUGAGCAGGAGGUGGUGGUCGAAGAAGUGGUGGUGGUGUAGGUAGUGGAGGUGGAAGUGGAGGUAAAAGUGGAGUAGGAGGUGGUGGAGGAAGUGGUGGUGUUAGAGGGAGUGGUGGUGUUAGAGGAAGUGGUGGUGGAGGUGGAGGAGGAGGUGGUGGAGGAGGGGAUGGUGGAGGAAGUAGUGGAGUUGGAGGAGGUGGUGGAGUUGGAGGAGGUGGUGGUGGUGGAGGAAGUGGUGGAGGUGGAGGAAGUGGUGGUGGAGGUGGAGGAG